rnacentral:misc_RNA from 1 species
GCCUUUAAUCAGAUACCUCCUUGAUAAAGUCUAACAAAGUGUUGUACAUCAUGAAGAAAAAUCCAUGUUGCAAACCUCAUAAACUAAGAAAUUCGCUAUUCUGAACACCCUAAAAUAACUGGAUGCAACUGUGUCUUUGCAUGUUUCCUACUUCUGUCUUACUCUUCCUCUUAAAGUACAAAUCUAACAUGCACAACCUCCACCUUGCUGCUCUGAUUGGGAUGUAUUUGUUGUAGGCUUCAAAUUAACGUCAACCAUAUCUUCCUGUUUUGUGGAUGAAAGUGUUUCCAUCCCCGGUAAGGCUGCAGCAAUCUUUCGGAACAGAGGCUUGAUAUUGAAUCCAGCUUUAGCACUGGUUUCUACAUACAUAACUCCAAAUUCACGAGAUUUAGCAUCUCCCUCUUCUGUGGAAACUUGCCUUUUC